rnacentral:rRNA from 1 species
UACGUAGGGGGCUAGCGUUGUCCGGAAUCAUUGGGCGUAAAGCGCGUGUAGGCGGGUGUGCAAGUCUGUGGUGAAAGCCUCCAGCUUAACUGGAGAAGUGCCAUGGAUACUGCACAUCUUGAGGAGGGUAGGGGCAUCUGGAACGGUCGGUGGAGCGGUGAAAUGCGUUGAUAUCGACCGGAACUCCGGUGGCGAAGGCGAGGUGCUGGACCCUUUCUGACGCUGAGGCGCGAAAGCGUGGGGAGCAAACAGG